rnacentral:snoRNA from 1 species
AUUCCAUGAUGGGGACAUUCUAGGAUGUAAUCUUGAAAGCGCUCCCAUGCUUACAGAUUCAUCAUUUUGUUGCUGAAAAUUUGUAAUCUUCCCACGGAGAGC